GCUUGCGGCAGCAGCGUGACUUACGGCCGCUCCCUCGGAGAAAGCCGUUGCAGGCGGCAUGCAGAAUCCGGUACCGGCUCGCAAGCACCGCGAGCUGGCAGCUCUCCAGAAUGACACAGUCAGUGGUCGUACAGGUCGGCCAGUGCGGAAACCAGAUCGGCUGCUGCUUCUGGGACCUGGCGCUAAGGGAGCACGCUGCGGUCAACCAGAAAGGAAUUUAUGAUGAGGCAAUAAGCAGCUUCUUUAGAAAUGUGGAUACCAGAGUGGUUGGUGACGGUGGAAGUAUUUCCAAGGGAAAAAUAUGUUCUUUAAAAGCACGAGCUGUCUUGAUUGAUAUGGAGGAAGGGGUAGUGAAUGAAAUUCUGCAGGGACCACUGAGAGAUGUAUUUGAUAUGAAUCAGCUCAUCACUGAUAUUUCUGGCUCAGGAAAUAAUUGGGCUGUGGGUCACAAAGUUUUUGGCAGUCUUUACCAAGACCAGCUUUUAGAGAAACUCAGAAAAUCGGCAGAGCACUGUGAUUGCUUGCAGUGUUUCUUUAUAAUACAUUCCAUGGGAGGAGGAACAGGAUCUGGACUUGGCACCUUUCUUUUAAAGAUGCUUGAAGAUGAAUUCCCAGAAGUAUAUAGAUUUGUAACUUCCAUUUAUCCUUCUUGUGAGGAUGAUGUCAUAACCUCACCUUAUAAUAGCAUCUUGGCAAUGAAGGAACUUAAUGAGCAUGCAGACUGUGUGUUGCCCAUUGACAAUCAAUCUUUAUUUGACAUCAUUAGCAAAAUCGACCUCAUGGUGAAUUCUGGAAAGUUGGGUACAACUGUGAAGCCAAAGAGUCUGGUUACUUCAAGUUCUGGGGCUUUAAAAAAAUGUCAUAAGAAGCCUUUUGAUGCAAUGAACAACAUUGUGGCCAAUUUGCUGCUCAACCUAACAAGCUCUGCGAGAUUUGAAGGGUCCCUUAAUAUGGACCUUAAUGAAAUCAGCAUGAAUUUAGUUCCUUUUCCCCAGCUUCAUUAUCUCGUGUCAAGCCUAACACCUUUAUAUACACUGGCAGAUGUUAACAUUCCUCCUAGAAGAUUGGAUCAGAUGUUUUCAGAUGCCUUUAGUAAAGAUCACCAGCUGCUUCAGGCAGACCCCAAACACAGUCUUUACCUCGCCUGUGCGCUCAUGGUGAGAGGAAAUGUACAAAUUUCAGAUCUUCGCAGAAAUAUUGAAAGAUUAAAACCAUCUCUACAAUUUGUCUCCUGGAAUCAAGAAGGCUGGAAGACCAGCCUGUGUUCCAUACCUCCUGUGGGCCAUUCUCAUUCAUUAUUAGCUUUAGCAAAUAACACAUGUGUGAAGCCCACCUUCAUGGAACUGAAGGAGAGAUUCAUGAGGCUCUACAAGAAAAAGGCUCACCUUCAUCACUAUCUACAAGUUGAAGGGAUGGAAGAAAGCUGUUUCACAGAAGCUGUGUCAUCUUUAUCAGCACUCAUACAGGAAUAUAACCAACUGGAUGCCACAAAAAACGUGCCUGUGCAGGAUUUACCCAGACUAAGCAUAGCUGUGUAAAUAAGAAAACCCCAAAAAUACUUUCUUAAUCUCACAUUGUUUUUUCUGACCUGUUUCAGCAUUUUUGUGAUUCGGAAAGUCCAGGGUUUUUUGUUUUUUUUUUUUUUUUUUUUUUUUUUUUUUUUUUUCAUAUUUUCAGGAAAUAUUUUUGUCUUAAAGAGUGAGUUCUGUUUAAUCACAGUUUGUUGGUAAUACCUAUAUGUGCAAUUAGUGAAAUCCUAGUAUCUUAACUUCAAACAUUUCUCUUCAGCAAAGUCCCUUUUUCUAAAAUUGAAAGAACAGAGUUCUUGAAUAUUUUGCUAUAUUUAUAGCCUUAUAUUUAGGCAUUGCACUGAUAAUUAUGUCUUCAAUAAAAAUCUUGUACAGAUAUAUUUUUGUAAGUAUUUAUGAUUUAUAUCUUGAUAUUCUAUUUAAGUUCUCCUGAUUCCAUAUAAAUAGUUACCAGGAGUAGAAGAAUACAAUAUAAAUAUUUCCGUGUAAUAUCCACUAACUUUUCAGGCAUAGGUUUUUAUUACAACUGUUAAGGAGGUUUUGUUCCUUCUUUAGAUGACAACUUGUUUGCUCAAAAGGAUCCUAAUUUGUACACUUAAAAUUUAUUUGCAUUAAACUUUUUUUUUUUUUUUUUUUUUGAGAUGGAGUCUCACUCUGUUGCCCAGGCUCAAGUUCAGUAGUCCAAUCUCAGCUCACUGCAACCUCCACCUCCUGGGUUCAAGUGAUUCUCCUGCCUCAGCCUCCUGAGUAGCUGAGAUUAUAGGCAUGCCGCACAAUGCCCAGCUAAUUUUUGUUUUUUUUUUUUUUUAAGUAGAAAUGGGGUUUUACCAUGUUGGUCAGGUUCAUCUUGAACUCCUGACCCCAUGAUCUUCCCACCUUGGCCUCCUAAAGUGCUGGGAUUACAGGUGUGAGUGACCACACCUGGCCUAAACUUUUAAAAGAAUUGCUUUCUUAUCAAACGUGUUGAUUUUAUAAUAAAUGACCGUAUUUUUUUUUUUUUUAAUUUUUUAUUGGAUUUUAGGUUUUGGGGUACAUGAGCAGAGCAUGCAAGACAGCUGCGUAGUUGCUGUUUUCAUUGGUUACCCUAUUAGAUAUUCCCAUCCCACAUGUUCUGGAGCAGGCAGUCCACUUUGUUGCUUGCACAAGACAUUUUUUUUUCCAAGUGUUCCAGUAGCCUGCUGAAAGGGCACUGGGAUCUGUGUGAUUUCCCAUGUGGCGACCCACUGCACCAGCUGAAACAACGGCGCUGCCCUGGAAUCUCCUGGCCUGGCUCCCUGUUUCAGACCCGUUCAAUCAGAUGAAUGGGUGAAUCUGCCUUCUCGGAGCUCCAGUUGCCAGCUUAAAGAGCAACCAGACCAGUGAGAGCCACUGGGCAAAACAGCCACGCCAGCCGAAACAGCCGCGGUGGCGACCCGUGGGGCUCCUCUGCCUGGGAAUCUCCUGGUCUGUGGGCAAUAAAGAUCCAUCUGGAAAUGCAGCAUCCACUCCCCCUCUGUACUUUCACUGGGAGCUGCAAUCCUGAGCUGCUCCUAAAGGGCCAUGUUGGAUCGGUCUCGAGACCAACUUGAACUUGAUCCAAAGGGCUUUACUUGUGGAAAACUGCUCUAAGGUAAUCUUUCCAGGGAAGUUUAUGCAUGGGUUCUAAGAGCCUUAUAUUGAAUCAGUAAGAUCCAAUGCAGAAAACCAAGUGUUCUGUACAUUUUGAAAAAAUAAAAAAAGGAUAUGGCUUAUAAUUUGAGAGGUUUUAGAGCAUUAGUAGUGCCAUGCUGUCAACUGAAAAUGUAUAGCAAAUGCAAAUUCACCACAACCUGGUAAUUUUUUUUUCUAAUUAACUGACAAAACUGGAGUUGCUGAGGAUGUUCCCUUCAUAGAGUUAGUUUUUAAAUACCUAAAAUUUACUUCUCUGCUUAUAGUUGCCUUUAUUAAAUAUCCACAUAAUAAAAGUGAACUUAUGACUUGUUAA